UUGAAAUGUCCAGGAUGUCGAUGCUUGCAGCAUCAAAGCCCAAGAAGAAAUGGGUAAGAAUGUGAAACUGCAGAUGAAAACAGUAAGAAUAACAGUCUGUUAUCUUCAGAAUAGAGAUGGCCAGAAUAGCAAGGGCCACAUUAUCUUGAGAAGCAGAAGGAACACGGCCAUGCCAGUAUAAUCCUUGCUUGAACUACUAAACCUCAUCAAGAAAAGGAACAUGCUAGCUACAGCUACUAGUAGUGGGAAGCUGGUUCUCUGGAUACACACAUGCAGCAUUUAAAAAAGUAUUUGCAGGUGCUGUGGGUGCUGCUCAAGUAACAAAUCUCUACAGUCUGAUUUUCUGCGUGCAUCCAGCAGAGCCCUGUGCUGAUGUUGCUGCCAUCACUGCUGUAAUCCUAUGUUAUGAAAGGGUUCUGGUGAUGGACCCCAUGGGACUCCUAACAACAGAAAGUGGCACAGAAGCAAUGGACUCCCAACAACUUCACCACCAGUACUGCUAUGAGCAGAAAUGCAACCUACUAGCCACGUGAGAGAAAAGAGGCAACAAAGAAGCUCUAGCAGGUGACAUGUUACAGUACUAAAGAGGCAAACAGCAGAAGUUGUUAGCACCUACAAAGUCCAGUUUCCUACCAGGGAGAAUGGAGCUCCAGCUCUAGAUGAGCCUAUACCUCUUCAGAUGCUGAACUACUCAGAAGCAGGUAGACAUCAUUACUAAGACACAUCUACACCUGACCCUGCUUGGACUUGGGAAUUGCUGGGGAGCAGGUACAUUUGUAUAUGCCAAAGAAAUCAUGGAGAGCUCGGGAGGUGAGACCCAUAGCAAUCCACCAGCUCUGCAGCCCCUAUGCAAGUACCCUGCAGGUAAGCCUUCCUCCUGCCAGGCCUUCAAGCCAAACAGGAACUUAGUGUUUCUCUAUCUGCUGCUCCUAAAACAAAUACAAGCAGCUGGAGGAGAGGAGAUGACAU
rnacentral:lncRNA from 1 species